UCACUGCAGAAGAUCCAGGGGGCGUGGUUGGAUCCAAAUCUAGGGGGUGGAGAUGGCUGGGUUUAGGGAUUGAGGGGUAGAGAUGGGUAGUUUUAGGGAUCAGGGGGUGGAGAUGGGUAGGUUUAGUGGUGGAGACGGGUGGGUUUAGGGAUUAGCGGGUGGAGAUUGGUGGGUUUAGGGGUGGAGAUGGGUGGGAUUAGGGAUUGGGCGUGGAGGUGGGUGGGUUUAGGGAUCAGGGGGUGGAGAUGGGUGGGUUUAGGGAUCAGGGGGUGGAGAUGGGUGGGUUUAGGGAUUAGGGGGUGGAGAUGGGUGGGUUUAGGGUUUAGGGGGUGGAGAUGGGUGGGUUUAGGGAUCAGAAGGUGAGAUGGGUUAAUUUAGGGGUAGAGAUGGGUGGGUUUGGGGAUUAGGUGGUGGAGAUUGGUAGGUUUAGGUAUAUGUCAGGUAUGAGGAGUUGGAUCUGGAUCCAACCAUGCCCCCAUUAUCUUCUGUUCUUCAGCGAGGACCAUCUCCAAAUUUGGGGAGAGGACAAAUAUUCCAAAACUUUCUGAAAAUUCAAUAUGAGAAUUAACUGCACAAUUAUUAGAAAUGUGUACCUUGGAUAUUAUACAGUUUGCAUACAUACAAACUUUUUGGAAAAAGGCUAAUUUUUUUCAAGACAUUUCCAACUCUAACUUGGACCAAUCCUGUAGAAUGGCCCAUAAAACUAAAGUG
ensembl:lncRNA